AGCCUUAAGAUAAUAUUAAGGUAAUGCCUGCCCAGUGCUAAGAUUGUAAAUGGCCGCAGUACCUUGACUGUGCUAAGGUAGCAUAAUCAGUUGGCUUUUAAAUGGAGUCGGGAAUGAAUGGACUUAUAGGGUUAAGCUGUCUCCCUUAUAUUUUCUUGAAUUUGAUUAUUUAGGUGAAAAUACCUAAUAUUGAUAAAAGACGAGAAGACCCUAGGAGUUUUAACUAGUAUCAAUAUUUAAUUGUUAAUGUUUUUGUUGGGGCGACAUAGGAGCAUAAUUAACCUCCUCAAUUUUAUACACCGACUUAAUGUAUAAAUAACUAAACUACCCUAGGGAUAACAGCGUUAUUCUUUAUAGAGUUUGCGACCUCGAUGUUGGACUAGGAAUUUAAUUGGCUAGCCGCCAAUUUUUACUGUUCUGUUCGAACUUAAUUCCUACAU
rnacentral:rRNA from 1 species